rnacentral:rRNA from 1 species
GGAGGUUGCAAGCGUUGUUCGGAUUUACUGGGGCGUAAAGGGGAGCGCAGGCGGUUUGAUAAGUCUGAAGUGGAAGCCCGGGGGCUCAACCCCGGGAAGGCCUUUGGGAUACUGUCAGACUUGAGUUCGUGAGAGGAAAGCGGAAUUCCAGGUGUAGCGGUGAAAUGCGUAGAUAUCUGGAGGAACAUCGGUGGCGAAAGCGGCUUUCUGGCACGAUACUGACGCUGAGGCUCGAAAGCGUGGGGAGCGAACAGGAUUAGAUACCCUGGUAGUCCACGCCGUAAACGUUGUGCACUAGGUGUAGGAGGUAUCGACCCCUUCUGUGCCGCAGCUAACGCAUUAAGUGCACCGCCUGGGCAGUACGCUCGCAAAGAGUG